UUGAAAGGGAAACGAUUGAAGUCAGUCGUGCUGGCGCGAAAUCAACCUUCUCGUCUUGAGAUCACAUGGCGUGGCGAGCCUCAAAACCGUCACGAGGCGUGAACUCUUGGUGAAAUGGAGCACUUUCGUGUCCGCUGGUUAACAUCAAUUUCGAACGUCAUAAAAAGGCUGGAGGGAUGUGGCUCCUUCGGGAGUGUUAUAACCUUUAGCGGAAUGUGGUGUUCGGGAUUGAGGAUUGCAACGAAUACCUUUAGGGCUGUUCCACCUGGCUUCUCUUUGGUAUCCUGGUGACGACAGCUUGCUGACGUCGUUAGGAUUCGCCUUUGAACAGGCUAGAGUGUGAGCAAAUUCGUUAAGGAUGUUGACGUA
rnacentral:rRNA from 1 species